AGUGAACGCUGGCGAUAGGCCUAACACAUGCAAGUCGAACGGCAGCACAGUAAGAGCUUGCUCUUACGGGUGGCGAGUGGCGGACGGGUGAGGUAUACAUCGGAAUCUACUUUUUCGUGGGGGAUAACGUAGGGAAACUUACGCUAAUACCGCAUACGACCUACGGGUGAAAGCAGGGGAUCUUCGGACCUUGCGCGAUUGAAUGAGCCGAUGUCGGAUUAGCUAGUUGGCGGGGUAAAGGCCCACCAAGGCGACGAUCCGUAGCUGGUCUGAGAGGAUGAUCAGCCACACUGGAACUGAGACACGGUCCAGACUCCUACGGGAGGCAGCAGUGGGGAAUAUUGGACAAUGGGCGCAAGCCUGAUCCAGCCAUACCGCGUGGGUGAAGAAGGCCUUCGGGUUGUAAAGCCCUUUUGUUGGGAAAGAAAAGCAGCAGGUUAAUACCCCGCUGUUCUGACGGUACCCAAAGAAUAAGCACCGGCUAACUUCGUG
rnacentral:rRNA from 1 species